AGAGUUUGAUUAUGGCUCAGGAUGAACGCUGGCGGCGUGCCUAAUACAUGCAAGUCGAGCGAACCACUUCGGUGGGAAGCGGCGAACGGGUGAGUAACACGUAGGUGAUCUGCCCAUCAGACGGGGACAACGAUUGGAAACGAUCGCUAAUACCGGAUAGGACGAAAGUUUAAAGAUGCUCCUGGCAUCACUGAUGGAUGAGCCUGCGGCGCAUUAGCUAGUUGGUGGGGUAAAGGCCUACCAAGGCGACGAUGCGUAGCCGACCUGAGAGGGUGAACGGCCACACUGGGACUGAGACACGGCCCAGACUCCUACGGGAGGCAGCAGUAGGGAAUCUUCGGCAAUGGGCGAAAGCCUGACCGAGCAACGCCGCGUGAAUGAAGAAGGCCUUCGGGUUGUAAAAUUCUGUUAUAAGGGAAGAAAGGUGAUAGGAGGAAAUGACUAUCAAUUGACGGUACCUUAUGAGAAAGCCACGGCUAACUACGUGCCAGCAGCCGCGGUAAUACGUAGGUGGCAAGCGUUAUCCGGAAUUAUUGGGCGUANAGAGCGCGCAGGUGGUUAAUUAAGUCUGAUGUGAAAGCCCACGGCUUAACCGUGGAGGGUCAUUGGAAACUGGUUGACUUGAGUG
rnacentral:rRNA from 1 species